GACCUCUCAGGGUCACACCUGGAGAGUUUCCAGUACUCUACCAGUCUUGACUACAGGAGGGAGAGUCAAGCAGAGGCAUACCCAUUCCGUUCCUAGCUUGGGCAGUGUCUAAUGAAUGGAAGGCAAUCUGCUACAAAU